UUCUUCUUCAUCGUUAAAAAUUUUUGGCUUACAACUUGAGGGGCCUGGGAAAAAUUACUUUAUUUUGAGUGAAGUACCUGAAUGAUGAGAAAUUCAAAACAGAUUUGGUAAUUUGCCCAAGAUCACACAGUAAAUACAAGAGCUGACAUUUGAACUGGGUCUGACACCAGAGCCAGCACUCCUGAUUACUAUGUAGGUUGUAAAGAGAUGCAGUUGUGAAAUGCCUAAGGCAGUAGUUCUCAACUUUAGCGUGUGCUUUAGAACCACCUGCAAGACUUACAACCCAAAUUGGUGGACUCCAACUCUGGGAGAUCACCUGAAGAUUUGAAUUUCUAACAAGUGCUCACUGAUGGUACUGGUUCCUGGAAUAUACUUUGAGAACCACUAGAUCUGGUGUAACAUCUCAUGAAAAGGUGGUUUCAGCCUCAGAGAAAGUGGGAAGAGAGGGAAAGACGGAGA